GCGGGUAUAGUUCAACGGUAGAACAUCAGCCUUCCAAGCUGAUUGUGAGGGUUCGAUUCCCUCUACCCGCUCCA
rnacentral:tRNA from 1 species